ACAAUAUUUGCAUAGUUGCCAGAGACAGUAGCGGCUCGAAAGAGAUUUAAGAAUGCUACCUAGGUGUUAAUCAUUUAACGACUUCUAGACUCUUGUUGGCACAAAACAAGAGUUUUUUUGUAGCAAC
rfam:Candidatus Saccharibacteria bacterium RIFCSPHIGHO2_12_FTLL_41_12 rifcsphigho2_12_scaffold_108, whole genome shotgun sequence.